rnacentral:rRNA from 1 species
GACGAACGCUGGCGGCGUGCUUAACACAUGCAAGUCGAACGGAAAGGCCCUGCUUUUGUGGGGUGCUCGAGUGGCGAACGGGUGAGUAACACGUGAGUAACCUGCCCUUGACUUUGGGAUAACUUCAGGAAACUGGGGCUAAUACCGGAUAGGAGCUCCUGCUGCAUGGUGGGGGUUGGAAAGUUUCGGCGGUUGGGGAUGGACUCGCGGCUUAUCAGCUUGUUGGUGGGGUAGUGGCUUACCAAGGCUUUGACGGGUAGCCGGCCUGAGAGGGUGACCGGCCAAAUUGGGACUGAGAUACGGCCCAGACUCCUACGGGAGGCAGCAGUGGGGAAUAUUGCACAAUGGGAGGAAGCAUGAUGCAGCAACGCCGCGUGCGGGAUGACGGACUUCGGGUUGUAAACCGCUUUCGCCUGUGACGAAGCGUGAGUGACGGUAAUGGGUAAAGAAGCACCGGAUAACUACGUG